UUCAUUGAAAAUUCAUCAGCGCUGUGCCAUAUAAGGUGUGCUGGCUCGCCAGCUAUGGUGAUAAAUGAUGAUGUGCAAUAGGCACAGCGGACCCGGGGGCGGUACCCGGCGGCUCCACCAACGCUCGCGGAAUCGCGGGCUCUGACGGGGCCGAACUAGGAUCGACGUGUGUUGAAAAGCAUUGUUUUUACCGGGCCUGAAUGCGCCCCUAAACCGUUCAAACUCAUAAGUGCCAACGAUAACGAAGCACUUGCGAUUGCCGCUUAACCUUGGGCCCUUACGGGCAUUAGGUUAAACCGAAAUCACGCGGCCCCCCGGAGCCGGGCAACAGAAUCCGGGGACU
rnacentral:tmRNA from 1 species